GACGAACGCUGGCGGCGUGCUUAACAUAUGCAAGUCGAACGGAAAGGCCCUGCUUUUGUGGGGUGCUCGAGUGGCGAACGGGUGAGUAACACGUGAGUAACCUGCCCUUGACUUUGGGAUAACUUCAGGAAACUGGGGCUAAUACCGGAUAGGAGCUCCUGCUGCAUGGUGGGGGUUGGAAAGUUUCGGCGGUUGGGGAUGGACUCGCGGCUUAUCAGCUUGUUGGUGGGGUAGUGGCUUACCAAGGCUUUGACGGGUAGCCGGCCUGAGAGGGUGACCGGCCACAUUGGGACUGAGAUACGGCCCAGACUCCUACGGGAGGCAGCAGUGGGGAAUAUUGCACAAUGGGCGGAAGCCUGAUGCAGCAACGCCGCGUGCGGGAUGACGGCCUUCGGGUUGUAAACCGCUUUCGCCUGUGACGAAGCGUGAGUGACAGUAAUGGGUAAAGAAGCACCGGCUAACUACGUG
rnacentral:rRNA from 1 species